rnacentral:rRNA from 1 species
GUUUACGCUAAUACCGCAUAUUCUGUGAGCAGGAAAGAGGGGGGAUCGCAAGACCUCUUGCUUUAGGAGCAGCCGAUGUCGGAUUAGCUAGUUGGUGAGGUAAAGGCUCACCAAGGCGACGAUCCGUAGCGGGUCUGAGAGGAUGAUCCGCCACACUGGGACUGAGACACGGCCCAGACUCCUACGGGAGGCAGCAGUGGGGAAUUUUUGGACAAUGGGCGCAAGCCUGAUCCAGCCAUGCCGCGUGAGUGAAGAAGGCCUUCGGGUUGUAAAGCUCUUUCGGUGGGGAAGAAAUUGCUUCGGUUAAUACCUGGAGUAGAUGACGGUACCCGCAUAAGAAGCACUGGCUAACUACGUG